AGUGAACGCUGGCGGUAGGCCUAACACAUGCAAGUCGAACGGCAGCACAGUAAGAGCUUGCUCUUACGGGUGGCGAGUGGCGGACGGGUGAGGAAUACAUCGGAAUCUACUUUUUCGUGGGGGAUAACGUAGGGAAACUUACGCUAAUACCGCAUACGACCUACGGGUGAAAGCAGGGGAUCUUCGGACCUUGCGCGAUUGAAUGAGCCGAUGUCGGAUUAGCUAGUUGGCGGGGUAAAGGCCCACCAAGGCGACGAUCCGUAGCUGGUCUGAGAGGAUGAUCAGCCACACUGGAACUGAGACACGGUCCAGACUCCUACGGGAGGCAGCAGUGGGGAAUAUUGGACAAUGGGCGCAAGCCUGAUCCAGCAAUACCGCGUGGGUGAAGAAGGCCUUCGGGUUGUAAAGCCCCUUUGUUGGGAAAGAAAAGCAGCAGGUUAAUACCCCGCUGUUCUGACGGUACCCAAAGAAUAAGCACCGGCUAACUUCGUG
rnacentral:rRNA from 1 species